rnacentral:rRNA from 1 species
CCUACGGGAGGCAGCAGUGGGGAAUUUUGGACAAUGGGGGAAAGCCUGAUCCAGCCAUGCCGCGUGUGGGAUGAAGGCCUUCGGGUUGUAAAGCACUUUUGUCCGGAAAGAAAAGAUUUGCCCUAAUACGGGGGAGGAUGACGUACCCAGCAGCCGCGGUAAU